UACGUAGGGGGCUAGCGUUGUCCGGAAUCAUUGGGCGUAAAGAGCGCGUAGGCGGCUAGGUAAGUCCGGUGUGAAAGUCACAGGCUCAACCUGUGAAUGCCGCUGGAAACUGUCUGGCUAGAGUCCGGAAGGGGCGAGUGGAAUUCCUGGUGUAGCGGUGAAAUGCGCAGAUAUCAGGAAGAACACCUAUGGCGAAAGCAGCUCUCUGGGUCCCUACCGACGCUGGGGUGCGAAAGCAUGGGGAGCGAACAGG
rnacentral:rRNA from 1 species